CAAGAAACGAAAAUAAAAAAAUAAAACCAUUCAAUCAAAAACCAUUUACAAAACCUAAAAAGAAAGAAAAUAGAACCAGAAAAAGAACCAGAUAGAAACCCAACAAUUUCCUUGUAUUUCAGCCACAAAAUCCCCCAAUCUAGAUGCGUUUCUCCGCUUGAACCAACCGAAUGAAGACAUUUUAAACAGUCACUGCUCUUAAUCCAAAAUGCAGCAAAUCACAACACCUCCACUCAUCUAGCAAUACCUUGAAAGCUCAUCGCCUCCUCCACCCAUUGCAUGUCGCGUCUCCGAAGAAACCCCUCCUUGGCGAGCAGCUAAGGGAGAAGCUGGAAGCAGCAGUAAGAAAGGGAAAGGCACGGCUUCAAAGUAGUUUCAGUUGGAUUUUCUGGUGAAAAGCUGGAAAAUUUCAUGUUGAAAUGUUGUCCAAAUGCUGGAAAUUUAGCAUGCAUAUUCUUUUAUUUAAAUGCUUUGACCGGCUAUUGUAAAUGAAGGAAAGUGUGAUUGUGGAUUAUUAAA